rnacentral:rRNA from 1 species
UAGGGAAUAUUGGUAAUGGGCGAAAGCCCGAACCAGCAACGCCGCGUGCGCGAUGAAGGCCUUCGGGUUGUAAAGCGCUUUUUAAGGGGAUGAGGAAGGACAGUACUCUUAGAAUAAGCCUCGGCUAACUACGUGCCAGCAGCCGCGGUAACACGUAGGAGGCAAGCGUUAUUCGGAUUUACUGGGCGUAAAGCGCGUGCAGGCGGUUCGGAAAGUUGGAUGUGAAAGCUCCUGGCUUAACUGGGAGAGGUCGUUCAAUACUUCCGGACUUGAGAGUGGGAGAGGGAGGUGGAAUUCCGGGUGUAGUGGUGAAAUGCGUAGAUAUCCGGAGGAACACCAGUGGCGAAAGCGGCCUCCUGGCCCAUUUCUGACGCUCAGACGCGAAAGCUAGGAUAGCAAACG